GACGAACGCUGGCGGCGUGCCUAAUACAUGCAAGUCGAGCGGAACCUUUGGAGCUUGCUCCUUGGGUUUAGCGGCGGACGGGUGAGUAACACGUGGGCAACCUGCCCUGCAGAUCGGGAUAACUCCGGGAAACCGGUGCUAAUACCGAAUAGUUUGCGGCCUCUCAUGAGGCUGUACGGAAAGACGGUUUCGGCUGUCACUGCAGGAUGGGCCCGCGGCGCAUUAGCUAGUUGGUGAGGUAACGGCUCACCAAGGCCACGAUGCGUAGCCGACCUGAGAGGGUGAUCGGCCACACUGGGACUGAGACACGGCCCAGACUCCUACGGGUGGCAG
rnacentral:rRNA from 1 species